rnacentral:rRNA from 1 species
AUUGAACGCUGGCGGCAGGCCUAACACAUGCAAGUCGAACGAGUGGCGGACGGGUGAGUAAUGUCUGGGAAACUGCCUGAUGGAGGGGGAUAACUACUGGAAACGGUAGCUAAUACCGCAUACCAUCGGAUGUGCCCAGAUGGGAUUAGCUAGUAGGUGGGGUAACGGCUCACCUAGGCGACGAUCCCUAGCUGGUCUGAGAGGGUGACCGGCCACACGGGAACUGAGACACGGCCCAGACUCCUACGGGAGGCAGCAGUGGGGAAUAGUGGGAAAUGGGCGCAAGCCUGAUGCAGCCAUGCCGCGUGUGUGAAGAAGGCUUUCGGGUCGUAAAGUUCUUUCAGCGGGGAGGCGGUACCCGACGAAGAAGCCCCGGCUAACUCCGUGCCAGCAGCCGCGGUAAUAC